UACGUAGGGUGCGAGCGUUGUCCGGAAUUAUUGGGCGUAAAGAGCUCGUAGGCGGUCUGUCGCGUCGGUCGUGAAAACUUGGGGCUUAACCCUGAGCUUGCGGUCGAUACGGGCAUGACUGGAGUUCGGCAGGGGAGACUGGAAUUCCUGGUGUAGCGGUGAAAUGCGCAGAUAUCAGGAGGAACACCGGUGGCGAAGGCGGGUCUCGUGGGCCGAUACUGACGCUGAGGAGCGAAAGCGUGGGGAGCGAACAGG
rnacentral:rRNA from 1 species